rnacentral:sRNA from 1 species
GAUUUGCGCGAAGGGUUGAAGCGGCAUCCUUUUUUUGCCGCGCUAUAAAUGUUCACUAUAUAAAUACUCCAUUUGGCAAAAAAAGAUACAGCGGAAAACCUGACCCUUG